rnacentral:rRNA from 1 species
AGAACGAACGCUGGCGGCAGGCCUCAAACAUGCAAGUCUAGGGGGUGUAGCAAUACAUCACCGGCGGACGGGUGCGUAACACGUGGGAAUAUACCUUUUGGUUCGGAACAACGCAGGGAAACUUGCGCUAAUACCGAAUGUGCCCUUACGGGGAAAGAUUUAUCGCCAAAGGAUUAGCCCGCGUAGGAUUAGCUAGUUGGUGAGGUAAUGGCUCACCAAGGCUCCGAUCCUUAGCUGUUCUGAGAGGAAGAUCAGCCACACUGGGACUGAGACACGGCCCAGACUCCUACGGGAGGCAGCAGUUGGGAAUCUUGGACAAUGGGGGAAACCCUGAUCCAGCCAUGCCGCGUGAGUGAUGAAGGCCUUCGGGUUGUAAAACUCUUUCGACGGGGACGAUAAUGACGGUACCGUAGAAGAAGCUCCGGCUAACUUCGUGCCAGCAGCCG